rnacentral:rRNA from 1 species
UACGUAGGGUCCGAGCGUUGUCCGGAAUUACUGGGCGUAAAGGGCUCGUAGGCGGUUUGUCGCGUCGGGAGUGAAAACACGGGGCUUAACCCCGUGCCUGCUUCCGAUACGGGCAGACUAGAGGUAUGCAGGGGAGAACGGAAUUCCUGGUGUAGCGGUGAAAUGCGCAGAUAUCAGGAGGAACACCGGUGGCGAAGGCGGUUCUCUGGGCAUUACCUGACGCUGAGGAGCGAAAGCCAGGGGAGCAAACGGG